CAUGGCCCCCUCCCUCACUUCAUUCUAGUUCUGCUCAAAUGUCACACCAGAACCACUGACGCAUUCUGUGGCCACCCUACCCAGAAUAGCAUCCUCCCUCCGUUACUCAUCUAUUGGCAGUAGGGGAGCCUGCCACUAUGGGAAGCUGGGACCCACAUUUGACACAAGAGGACACUCCGGCCACGCUGAGGAGAGGGAGACCCGGGAUGAAAUAGCUGGAAGAAACCGUGCCACUCAAAGUCCCAUGGACACCAUGUGACAGGAGGGGCUGUGUCCAUCGGGCCACUGCCUUGUCUCACAAACAGCCCCUUCCAUUCACGUCCACAUGUGUCUGUUUUCUGCCUCUUGAGUGGGUCCGAAACUGGAAAACAUCUGCACUAGUUUCAUCUGGGUGUGAUUUAUAAGGACUCCCCAUGGUCCCCUCUCUCCCUUCUCCUCCUCCUCACCUCUGGUGCUUGGGGGUUUCGUGGUUUUUUGUUUUGUUUUGUUUUGUUUUAAACAGGCUAGUGUUUCUUGAGACUGGGUCACCUUGAUUUAUUAUGCCCUGGACUCAUUAACAAAAGACUCUGGGACAGGUCAUUUAUUUUCUGAGUGGUGAUUUCCUGUCCUACCCCAGCCCUGCUCAGCAGGGGCCUGGUGGAGCACAGACUUAUAUUAGCUGCACUGUCACCAUGGGAGAACGGAAUCAAGCAAGGAAGGUACAGAGGGCAGAAAACGUCUCUUUCCUUAAGAGCUUUCUCCUUACUUUAAUGAUUUUCUUCAGAGUCCCUUUUGGUAGUUCUUUCUCUCCUCCCUCAGCAAAUGAGACAAGUUUAACAAAUAAGUUGUGGGGUUGCUUCUUAAAGGAACAGACACGGAUCUGUUUUCUCUAUUUCACAUUUGAAUAGCCUAACAUUUAUAUGUGUAUUUAUGGGGGGUUAUUAGUGGACACCCAAGCUGAGCAUGAAGUAGGCGAACUCAACGUUAUGUGCACUACGGUCAACUAUUUUGUCAGGUCCUUAUUAAAAUAAUACACUCAUGUUUGGGCACUAAAACCUGAGAUGCUAAUAAUUUAGAGGGAGGUCACAAGGCAAAAGUGAAAUUAUUCAAGAUUUUCAGAUAGGCUCUCUGGAGGAAGAUUAAAGAAAUUGGCAUGGUUUAGCCUGAGGUUCAAAGGCUGAAGAAUGAUUUAUUAACUGUUUUCAGGUCUCUGGGAGGUAGUUUUAUGUAGGAAUGAUGGUGACUAACUGUUUUCUGACUGCACUAAAGAUAGAAUCAGAGGAAGUAGAAUUAAAUUGUAGCAAAAUUACAGAAUAGUCAUAAGGUGAGUAGCUAUGGCUAAAGUCUAUUGAGAGAAAGAUGAGAUAUAUCUGUAAAGUUGUAACGCUGUUACCCCAUUUUAAAGAAUAACAAACAGAGGCUCAGAGAGGUUAAGUAAUUGCUGAAGGUCACAAAGUGAGGCAGUGACAGAACUGGGUCUAACUAAUUCCACAGUGUAUAGAGUGUAUAAAUAGGUCAAAGAAAUAGCAAAUAUAUGUAUAUUUUUUAAAUAAAAAUAAAUAAAAAAAUAAAAUCAUAUUAUAAAGUUCCCAAUAGUCUAGAUUGAUUUAUGUUCAGAGAACAGGGGAUUCAAUUCUGUGGACUUAAGACCUUGGGAUUCUGUGCUCCACUUGGUUCUGAGCUGGGAAGGCAGUCUUCUUCCCUCACCUUCAGCCUAAGAGACAGGCAGAGUGGGCAGACCCAGCACCAGCACCCUCUGAAGCAGUCUGAAGACUGGGCUCUGGGCUGGUCAUUUUUGUCACUUGUCAUGGGCCAUACUCCCAGGCAAAGGCUUUGGUCUCAGGAAGGCUAUGGAGUUGGUGGGUGUGGAUGGUUGAGGCUCAAGAAAGGCACCCCUCCUGCCCACUGUGCAUGUCUCCUCGAAGUCCCUCCCACCAUGGAAAGGCCAGUUAAGGAGUGUCUGGAGUGUGUUUCACUGUGAGGAUUGGGAUUGAUCCAGAACCACCAAAGUGGCUGGACUCCUCAGAAGCAUGCAGAAGUGGGAGAAGCAAAGCCCGGCUGGAUUAUUGCCCUGCACAUGGGUCAGUUUGGAAAUGGCCACGAAGGAGGAGCAAGGCUGUAAGAAAGAUUUCGUGGGUGGGAAGGAGAGCGAACAUCUACUGCACACUUACUCUGCCAGCCACUGGUGAAGGGUGACGGACUACGUGAGGUCGUUUGAUCUCUGCAACAACACUGUGACGUCAGUACUCUUACUAUCGUCAUUUACAGAAGGGGAACCAGCACAGAGAAGUAAAACACUGGUCGACGCUCCACAGCGAGGAGGAGUUAGAACUCAAAUCCAGACCUAAAAGACCGUCUGACCCCGGAGGCUGCAUUCUUAACUGCCAUGACUCGGAUGAGGACAUGGACCGUCCGCAUAGCAAAACAGCUACCAUUUUGCACUCGGUCUGUGGCUGGUCUUGGGGCUGCAGAGAGGGCAGUCCUGAAGUCCAGAUCCCAGGGACAAGAGGGCUACUGCAGAGCUGGCGAAAAUGACCAAAGGAGGAAAUCAGAACACGGUCCAGGUCACAGUGGGGAGAUGUGGCUCAUUUCUUGUCUCUGUAGUCUGCUAAGUGGUCCCAUAAUCCGGGCUACUCAACACACUGGCCUAUGCAGACACAAGCCAAGGGAUGGAAGUGUAGUUAACUCCCUUCAUCUGUGAUGCUUGUGAAUCAUCACUGUGGUCAUCAUCAUGGACACCAGUCCUCACUGUCCAAGCACAUGGAAAGGGUGGAAAACAGAAGAGAAUUCAUGGUGACCACAGGCUACAGCCUGGCAGUGUUUUGUUUGGGUUUUUAAAAUAGAUCAGAUCUAUCAGCAUA